GAUGAACGCUGGCGGCGUGCUUAACACAUGCAAGUCGAACGGAAGAAUUAAGCGGAAGUUUCGGAUGGAAACUUAAUUCUUUAGUGGCGGACGGGUGAGUAGCGCGUGGGUAACCUGCCGUAUACAGGGGGAUAACACUUAGAAAUAGGUGCUAAAUACCGCAUAAGCGCACAGCGUCGCAUGACACAGUGUGAAAAGCCGAGACGGUAUACGAUGGACCCGCGUCUGAUUAGCUAGUUGGUGGGGUAGAGGCCUACCAAGGCGACGAUCAGUAGCCGGCCUGAGAGGGUGACCGGCCACGUUGGGACUGAGACACGGCCCAAACUCCUACGGGAGGCAGCAGUGGGGAAUAUUGCACAAUGGGGGAAACCCUGAUGCAGCGACGCCGCGUGAGUGAAGAAGUAUUUCCGGUAUGUAAAGCUCUAUCAGCAGGGAAGAAAAUUGACGGUACCUGACUAAGAAGCCCCGGCUAACUACGUGCCAGCAGCCGCGG
rnacentral:rRNA from 1 species